GAUUUUCAGUGUGUUUCUUUCAGUGUUCCCUUUAAGUGAAGAUAAGAAGUGUAACACUGAUAUCUGCAAUUCUGCCCAAAUGGCUGAUUAAAUGUUAACUAAAUAUUUCUUUAGAUAUAUAAUUAUGGGCUGGAAUGAGUGCAAGUCACAGAAUGACAGCUUCGAAGAUAAGAUCACAAAAGUGAGUGAUAAAGCCAUAGUGCUUGAAAAAAGAUCAUAUACUGUGGGCUAGUGUUUUUGGCACGCUGCUGCUUCGUCGCCAAAUCAAGAAGGUGUUAUCUGCUGUCUGCCCUCAGCAGGAGUGGUUCCUGAUCGACAGAUGGCGCUGUAUGCCUAUGCAGCAUUAAACCCUGAAAGGUUCGGCGGGACACUACACACAGACGGCUUAAGAAAUAGAUGGGCAGACAGUCGAAAACAAUAUUCAUACAAACAAGAUCAAGUAAUGUAAUGCAUUUGACCAAUUUACAAAUGUUUGUAUUAGUAUGGGAAGUUAGUUAUAAUUAACAGCCUAAGCAGCCUUUCAAGAAAUUAAAAAAAGAGUUUAGUCGUGUUAGACGCCAUAUUUAAUUUUUCGUGAUUGAUAACGAGGCCGUGGGGGAAACAUACACUGUGUGUUCGUCUAUCUGCUGGAGUUGCACAUGUUUUCUAGGUAAUGUGUACUCGGAAAAUAGUAUGCAAAUGAAGAAUCGCAGCUUUGGCAGUGACAAGCCACACAGUGUGAGGCCAAGUGCUCGCCAAGAAAGGAGAGAGAGGAGAGAAAGGAGGGAGAGCAAAGUUUACCUUCCACUUCAGUAGCUCUGUAAAGGGCUGAAGAUGAAAGCAUUUUACUUCACAAGAUGUGAAUUGAUGGGCCGAGGUUGUGUGGACUACCUCUGGAUUAUUGUGGGGUUUUUAUCAGUUGUUUGGACUCUGAAGGCAGCCGUUCACUGCAGAGGAUACAUUGUUGAGAAAGUGAUGCUAAAUUUCUUCAAAUCGGUUCAGAUGCAAUACUCAAACUCAUCUACAUCUUGGAUGGCUUUGAGUGAACUAUUCCUUUAAUGUCCAAGCUAAAGUAAUGAUCAAACCCGCUCACCUAAAUGGGUUUCUAUGUUUUUGGUUCAUUUUGACAGUUCAGUGAACAUUUAUCACUGUACUAUGUACUAUGUUUCUGACUUGGCUAUGUAAAGAAUGUUUUUCUUUUUUGCUGUAUUUAGUGUAAAUAUAUCUAUUUAGUGUAGCAUCUAUCUAAGUAUAGAGAGUUUUGCUUUCUGUUUACAUUUAAAAUAAAAUAAAAAUAAAUUCACCAUACGUCACAAACACUUUGCUUUCCUGACAUCAGUCUUAACAUAAAGACUCUAAUUAGAAAGUCACAUGAAGUGAGCCACUGUGUUUCCAGCUUUAAGCACUAUCACAUGGCUCAAAAAUAGCUGCUGUUUGCUCAGAGUGACUGGGGGGAUUUUACCUGUACUUCAGCAUAUCAAACACCUUUUCAAACUGCUGCUUUGACAAGUUCCUUGCUGUCGCCCUGGCUGAAGUGACUGUGGCAGUAGCUGCGUAUGUAAAUAGGAUUCUUUAGUUAGUAAAUACUUGUCUCACUGCACAUCUAAAUUUGAGACAUGAAUGACUGCUAAGAAUAUGUACAUGACUUUGAACACACACGUAACUGUAUGACAUGCUUAUGUAUGCUGCAAGUAUGUCCUUACCUGGGUCUGUAACACCCUUAAACCUGAAGAAAAUCCUAUAUGACAAUUCAUAUAAUAUCUGGCAUCAAACAACAUGUGACAUGUCAUGCAUUUACUGCCUGUUUACAAAUAUACCAGUGGCUAAGGUUGCCUUGCUCAGUGUUGUUUACACCAGAGAUCCAACAGUAUUAACCUCUGCUAAAGGAAUCUGAACAGACAGCUUGCAUGGAAGAAAGUAUAAACAAACCUACAGUGGCCUUGUGCUUUUACAAAAAGUCCCAAGGACAAGAGCUGUCAGACACUAUCUGCUGACCCAGUCCUCAUCUUAGAAAUGUCCUCACAUUCUUUGAGACCUCUAUGCUAAAAUCACUAGGUAUUUGUAAGUUUUAUUGCAGAAAACUGUUAGGUUUACAUAUACAGUACACACUACUG
rnacentral:lncRNA from 1 species